rnacentral:rRNA from 1 species
AUUGAACGCUGGCGGCAUGCCUUACACAUGCAAGUCGAACGGUAACGGGCCUUCGGGUGCCGACGAGUGGCGAACGGGUGAGUAAUGUAUCGGAACGUACCUUUCAGUGGGGGAUAACGUAGCGAAAGUUACGCUAAUACCGCAUAUUCUGUGCGCAGGAAAGCAGGGGAUCGCAAGACCUUGCGCUGAUUGAGCGGCCGAUAUCAGAUUAGCUAGUUGGUGAGGUAAAGGCUCACCAAGGCGACGAUCGGUAGCUGGUCUGAGAGGAUGAUCAGCCACACUGGGACUGAGACACGGCCCAGACUCCUACGGGAGGCAGCAGUGGGGAAUAUUGGACAAUGGGCGCAAGCCUGAUCCAGCAAUGCCGCGUGGGUGAAGAAGGCCUGCGGGUUGUAAAGCCCUUUAAGCGGGGAGGAAAGCCGGGGUGUGAAUAGCGCCUCGGGGUGACGUUACCCGCAGAAUAAGCACCGGCUAACUCCGUGCCAGC